rnacentral:rRNA from 1 species
UUGAACGCUGGCGGCAUGCUUUACACAUGCAAGUCGAACGGUAACAGGCCUUCGGGUGCUGACGAGUGGCGAACGGGUGAGUAAUGCAUCGGAACGUGCCCAAUCGUGGGGGAUAACGUAGCGAAAGUUACGCUAAUACCGCAUACGCCCUGAGGGGGAAAGCAGGGGAUCUUCGGACCUUGUGCGAAUGGAGCGGCCGAUGUCAGAUUAGCUAGUUGGUGGGGUAAAGGCCCACCAAGGCGACGAUCUGUAGCGGGUCUGAGAGGAUGAUCCGCCACACUGGGACUGAGACACGGCCCAGACUCCUACGGGAGGCAGCAGUGGGGAAUUUUGGACAAUGGGCGCAAGCCUGAUCCAGCCAUGCCGCGUGCGGGACGAAGGCCUUCGGGUUGUAAACCGCUUUCAGCCGGAAAGAAACGGUACGCUCUAACAUAGCGUGCUAAUGACGGUACCGGCAGAAGAAGCACCGGCUAACUACGU